GACUACUGGGGUAUCUAAUCCUGUUUGAUCCCCACGCUUUCGUGCAUGAGCGUCAGUUCAAGCCCGGUAAGCUGCCUUCGCAAUCGGGGUUCUGUGUUAUAUCUAUGCAUUUCACCGCUACACAACACAUUCCGCCUACCUUAUUUACACUCAAGAAAAUCAGUUUCAAUGGCAAUUUUACAGUUGAGCUGCAAACUUUCACCACUGACUUAAUCUCCCGCCUACGCACCCUUUAAACCCAAUAAAUCCGGAUAACGCUCGGAUCCUCCGUAUUACCGCGGCUGCUGGCACGGAGUUAGCCGAUCCUUAUUCGCAUGGUACAUACAAUAAACUACACGUAGCUCACUUUAUUCCCCUGCAAAAGAAGUUUACAAUCCAUAGAACCUUCUUCCUUCACGCGACUUGGCUGGUUCAGGCUUUCGCCCAUUGACCAAUAUUCCUCACUGCAGCCUCCCGUAGG
rnacentral:rRNA from 1 species